rnacentral:rRNA from 1 species
GACGAACGCUGGCGGCGUGCCUAAUACAUGCAAGUAGAACGCACAGUUUAUACCGUAGCUUGCUACACCAUAGACUGUGAGUUGCGAACGGGUGAGUAACGCGUAGGUAACCUGCCUGGUAGCGGGGGAUAACUAUUGGAAACGAUAGCUAAUACCGCAUAAUAUUAAUUAUUGCAUGAUAAUUAAUUGAAAGGUGCAAUUGCACCACUACCAGAUGGACCUGCGUUGUAUUAGCUAGUAGGUGAGGUAACGGCGCACCUAGGCGACGAUACAUAGCCGACCUGAGAGGGUGAGCGGCCACACUGGGACUGAGGCACGGCCCAGACUCCUACGGGAGGCAGCAGUAGGGGAUCUUCGGCAAUGGACGAAAGUCUGAACAAGCAACGCCGCGUGAGUGAAGAAGGUUUUCGGAUCGUAAAGCUCUGUUGUAAGAGAAGAACGGGUGGGAGUGUGGAAAGUGCACACUGUGACGGUAUCUUAACAGAAAGGGACGGCUAACUACGUG